rnacentral:lncRNA from 1 species
AUGGACAUGGUGAAUGACGCGCAACUUAGCACCAUGAAGACCCUUUAAUAGUGAGUUUGCUUCUUCUAGAAUAGCUAUAUGAUUUUGAUUCUAUGUUAAUUUCAUUUCAUUAUGAGUAGCGUCUUAAACCGAAAUAUAUAUGUACAUUUGAGGCUUAAAACAUGAGUGUUUGAUACAGUCUCUUAUAUUGUUAUGUUAGUGUCUUUCUAAUUGUGAGUUUUAAUUUUAAGUAUGUUGAUGGUGCUAUACAAUGAAUAGAGAUAAAUUGGUUUAAAAGUUCUUUUUAGAGCAUAUGGGAUUUAUAUAUUUGUUUUUCUUAUGCUUACAUGUUGUAUGAAAGAAAGAAAGAAAGAAAUGUUAAACACUGAGAUACAUGUACCAAUUGUGAAAUCAUGCAGUAUUCAGUAAAUAUUUUGUUGAUUAUACAGUAUUCAGGAUUCAUUUUGACCAUCAUGAUACACUUGCACAAAGAGCCCUCGAACUGAAUUUGCUAUCUGAAGACAAAUUUCCAUAUAAUAUUUUAUUGAUUAUACAAUAUUCAUCCAAGGUGUAUCUAUUAUUAGGUCUGUUAUAGAAAAUAGUAGAGGUUCCAAUUUGACCCAUUUGCUUAUGAACAAAUUAAAGUUGACCAAUAUCCAUUUUUAUUGCGUAUGAAAUGAUCUACUUUAAUGGGCUAAGCUAUUGGAUCAUGGAUCAGCCUAAGAAUUGCCCAAAUAAAUGUACAUAUUAGGUUGCUUAUUGUAUUGGUGGGUCAAACUUUUUGGUUAGUUGGAUUAUAUAGCUGGAACGGAUUAGAUCUAGAUCAAUAUUUGAUACAGCCCAAGAAUUGCCCAAAUAAAUGUACAAAUUCAAGUUUAACUCGCAUUUUCGUAUUGACUCUUUACCCAACUCGCUUAAUGGCGGUUCAAGUAUUUUUCUUAAAAAUUAUUG